rnacentral:rRNA from 1 species
UACGUAGGGGGCAAGCGUUGUCCGGAAUUAUUGGGCGUAAAGCGCGCGCAGGCGGUUCUUUAAGUCUUGUGUUUAAUCCCGGGGCUCAACCCUGGUUCGCAUGGGAAACUGGAGAGCUGGAGUGCAGGAGAGGAAAGUGGAAUUCCACGUGUAGCGGUGAAAUGCGUAGAGAUGUGGAGGAACACCAGUGGCGAAGGCGACACGCUGGGCCAUACCUGACGCUAAAGCGCGACAGCAUGGGAAGCAAACGGG